UACGUAGGGCGCAAGCGUUGUCCGGAAUUAUUGGGCGUAAAGAGCUCGUAGGCGGCCUGUUGCGUCCGCUGUGAAAACUCGGGGCUUAACCCCGAGCCUGCAGUGGAUACGGGCAGACUAGAGGUAGGUAGGGGAGAAUGGAAUUCCCGGUGUAGCGGUGAAAUGCGCAGAUAUCGGGAGGAACACCGGUGGCGAAGGCGGUUCUCUGGGCCUUACCUGACGCUGAGGAGCGAAAGCGUGGGGAGCGAACAGG
rnacentral:rRNA from 1 species